rnacentral:rRNA from 1 species
AAUGAACGCUGGCGGCAUGCCUAACACAUGCAAGUCGAACGAAGGCUUCGGCCUUAGUGGCGCACGGGUGCGUAACGCGUGGGAAUCUGCCCCUUGGUUCGGAAUAACAGUUAGAAAUGACUGCUAAUACCGGAUGAUUACGUAAGUCCAAAGAUUUAUCGCCGAGGGAUGAGCCCGCGUAGGAUUAGCUAGUUGGUGUGGUAAGAGCGCACCAAGGCGACGAUCCUUAGCUGGUCUGAGAGGAUGAUCAGCCACACUGGGACUGAGACACGGCCCAGACUCCUACGGGAGGCAGCAGUGGGGAAUAUUGGACAAUGGGCGAAAGCCUGAUCCAGCAAUGCCGCGUGAGUGAUGAAGGCCUUAGGGUUGUAAAGCUCUUUUACCCGGGAUGAUAAUGACAGUACCGGGAGAAUAAGCUCCGGCUAACUCCGUG